rnacentral:rRNA from 1 species
CAGUCGCCACGGGAAUACGGAGGGUGCAAGCGUUAAUCGGAAUUACUGGGCGUAAAGCGCACGCAGGCGGUCUGUCAAGUCGGAUGUGAAAUCCCCGGGCUCAACCUGGGAACUGCAUUCGAAACUGGCAGGCUAGAGUCUUGUAGAGGGGGGUAGAAUUCCAGGUGUAGCGGUGAAAUGCGUAGAGAUCUGGAGGAAUACCGAUGGCGAAGGCAGCCAUCUGGCCUAAUACUGACGCUGAGGUACGAAAGCAUGGGGAGCAAACAGGAUUAGAUACCCCGGUAGUCCCUGUCUCUUAUAC